CUCAAAUCAAGGUUCUAAGGAUAAUUUGACAAAAAGGGUAGGCUUGAAAGGCUCAAACGGUUCAAAGAAGGCCCAAAUCAUAUCCCAAAUCACUUAUUAUCAACACUUCGUAUCAUAAAUGUCCUAAGGUGAGAUUUAAAACCGAACAAAGCAUGAUUGAGCACAAAUACAUUCCAAAUUUAAAAUGCAAAACAUUCAACCAAAGCAAUGCACAAGGUGUGAUUCCUAGCAAUAAUUCACUUCUACGUUCCGUUGAAUCGAAAGCUAAACAAAUAUCUACUCCUUAUCAACAUAAAACAAGUAAUCUCAUCAUCAAACAUUGACCAUCUCCCAUCAUCAUAGUUCAUCGAUGUACCGAAAUUUAUUUAUUUAUUUAUUUAUUAUUAUUUUUUUUUAAAUAAUAAAAAACGGCAACUAAAACAAAAACUAAAGCAUGCAAAAUAAUAAAAAAAUUAAAGCACAAAUAAAGCGCACAUAAAAUAAAACAAGUAGUUAACCACCCCCAAACUUAAAAUUCACAUUGCCCUCAAUGUGAUUCGCCCGGAGUUUAAGGAUAGAAAACACCUGUUUUUAAGCGUCGGGACCAUCGUCGGGUUGUUGGAAUUUGAUCGGUUUUCUUGCCCUUCCCUUUGCUCCUUGAAGUGCCUUCGCCUUGUGAGGUGCCCUCCCCGUCACGUCCUCGUUUCCCCAUGACUUGAGAAUGUGUGUAGAAGGGAUUAGGAGUGGAUUGAUGUGCAAAAUUUCCCCCAAACUUGACUUGGGCAAUUCGUCGAACAUCUUGUGGGCGUUCUUGGUUGAAUGGAUUUUUGGAGAAAUUUGUACCUUUCUUGAACCCUCCCUGCACAAAUCAGCAACAAACAACCGAGAUAAGUAACAAUAUGUGUGUAGUUGGUGAAUUUUCGGUGAAAUUGUUCAAGAAAGUCGAAAAUUUUGAAAAGAGGGGGUUAGGGUUCGAAUUAGGGGAGAAGUGGG
rnacentral:lncRNA from 1 species